rnacentral:lncRNA from 1 species
UGUUCGGCUUAUUUCCUCACCAGGUGGCAGCACUGCCUUCUUUGGACACAGAAACUGUGGCGGCGAAUGCGCCACUGUGUUUUGCACUGUGUGGAGUACGUGCGGUGUCGGUCCGAGGGACUGAAUUUCGGUGAAUUUGACAGCAAUUGAUUUGAAUUUUGCUCAGAUGGGUUGUGAAUUUAUAUUCAGCAAGUGUCACAAACAUGGAAAGGCAGGUUUACAAAGGACAGGAGACUUAGAAAGGCUUCAAUUGACGGAGCCGAAGGGAGGCGAGAAGCCGAAGAUAGACCGACUCCAAACGGUGCCCAGCGCAAUCAUGCGUCUGGUGCGGAGUUGUCAGGAUGGAGUCCGAGGAAUCAAGGAAGGCGGACGACCUGCAUAUGAAGGAACCAGCCCUGCGGGUGAAGUUCUGAGGUGCAUACAGAGGGAUCCCACUGAAAGACCAGGUGCAAUGCUGCAUUGAUAAGAUCCAGAUUCAAGAGCAUGGAUGCUACCGUGAUUUGAAGUUUCCAGUGUCACUGCUGCUACAAAUGACAUCAGCAACACUUCCUUUGGUGAAAGUUUAGAGGAGCAAACAGUUGGUGCUCUGUGUAGUCAAGGAGUAGAGUUUUGCCACAAUCAUGAAGUUGAUUAAGGUGUCAAUUUUUGCUCUGGCUUCUGGGACACCUUGGAUCUACAUUGCAACCUAUGCUAGUGUUCAACAUUUCGUGUCAUAGUAUCACUGAUGCAAGGCGUGUUGCAUCAUACACAAAUGAGAGCCAGCAAAUUGUCAGAUAUUUUCUAGUGAUAGAGAACUGCAUGCCUUAAGCAAUUGUUGAAGGUGAUAAGUGGUGAAUGAUAGGGCUCAGCCACUCAGCUCCUUCCUUCAAAAGCUAUCAAUCAGCUCUAGAAGAGUAGUCAUAGCAAUGCUUCAUAUGUGAAGGCUACUUGCCUGAACAGAACAUUGUGGAUUUGUUAAUUAAGUACCUCUUAAUUACAAGUUUGUGCCCAUUACAAGCCAAGCUUAGUUUACUUAGUUUGUUGCAAGUUUUCCAGGCAGCCUUUACACUUGUAUCGCUGAAUAUUAAACUUUAACUGAUAGACCGACGAGAUAUUGUCCCUUUCGCAUCAGAUUGUAAUCAGUCAGUCGUGUUGGUAGAAGGUACAGUCUGUCUUAAAAGUACCGCGCAAAGUGACGGUGGAUCCAUCAAGCCUGACCGAGGAAGGGCCUGCUAUAAUUUGAAAGUCACCGAACCAAUUGACCUGGGGAACGGACGAGGAUGUCAUAUAGAGCCACGCAGAAAUCGCCGGUGAUUCGUUGCCCAUCAUUACAGAAUGAACGCAUGCCGGAUGAAGGGUUAAGUCAAUAGUUUGUACAAACUACAGGGAUGUGAUUGACUUAUCUGACAGUGACGAGCGCUAGAGGUCAACUUAAGACCGUAGGUAUGCGUUCUUGUCAUGGAAUGUGUGCUGUAAAUCGAUUGUUUCAUGCGUGUGAAUAUAUGUCUGAAUGUAA